rnacentral:rRNA from 1 species
GAUGAACGCUGGCGGCGUGCUUAACACAUGCAAGUCGAACGGUGAAUCAGAUCUUGCCCUGUGGAUCAGUGGCGAACGGUUGAGUAACACCUUAUCAACCUGCCCCUCACUCUGGGAUUAGCGCUGGUAACGGCUUCUCCUACUGGGUAUGAGCUGCGACCGCAUGGUCUGCACUUGGAAUGAUUUUUCUGUUUGGGAUGGGCUCACGGCCUCUCAGCUUGUUGGUGUGGUAAUGUCUCACCAAGGCGUCGCCGGGUAGCCGGCCUGAGAGGGCGAGCGGCCAAACUGGGACUGAGACGAGACCCAGACUCCUACGGGAGGCAGCGGUGGGGAAGAGUGCAUAAUGGGAGAAAGCCUGAUGCAGCAAAGCCGCGUGGGGGAUGACGGCAAGCGGGUUGUAAUCCUAUUUUAGCAGGGAAGAAGAGAAAGUGACGGUACCUGCAGAAGAAGCGCCGGCUAACUACGUG